rnacentral:rRNA from 2 species
AGAGUUUGAUCCUGGCUCAGAACGAACGCUGGCGGCRUGCUUAACACAUGCAAGUCGAACGUGAUCCGGAGCUUGCUCCGGUGAAAGUGGCGCACGGGUGAGUAACGCGUGGAUAAUCUGCCCUGGUAUCUGGGAUAACAUCUCGAAAGGGGUGCUAAUACCGGAUAAGCCUACGGUCUCUUCGGAGUCUGCAGGAAAAGGUGGCCUCUAUUUAUAAGCUACCGUAUCAGGAUGAGUCCGCGUACCAUUAGCUAGUUGGUGGGGUAAUGGCCCACCAAGGCUACGAUGGUUAGCUGGUCUGAGAGGAUGAUCAGCCACACUGGAACUGAGACACGGUCCAGACUCCUACGGGAGGCAGCAGUGGGGAAUUUAGCGCAAUGGGGGAAACCCUGACGCAGCAACGCCGCGUGAGUGAUGAAGGCUUUCGGGUCGUAAAGCUCUGUCAGAGGGGAAGAAAUGAGUCUGGCUAAUAUCCAGAUUUCUUGACGGUACCCUCAAAGGAAGCGCCGGCUAACUCCGUGCCAGCAGCCGCGGUAAU